rnacentral:rRNA from 1 species
UACGUAGGGUCCGAGCGUUAUCCGGAAUCAUUGGGCGUAAAGAGCUCGUAGGCGGUUCAGCAAGUCGGCUGUGAAAGUCCGGGGCUCAACCCCGGAAUUGCAGUCGAUACUGCUGUGACUCGAGUCCGGUAGAGGAGAACGGAGUUCCCGGUGUAGCGGUGAAAUGCGCAGAUAUCGGGAGGAACACCAGUAGCGAAGGCGGUUCUCUGGGCCGGCACUGACGCUGAGGAGCGAAAGCGUGGGGAGCAAACAGG